GAUGAACGCUGGCGGCGUGCCUAAUACAUGCAAGUCGAGCGAACGGACGAGAAGCUUGUUUCUCUGAUGUUAGCGGCGGACGGGUGAGUAACGCGUGGAUAACCUACCUAUAGGACGGGGAUAACUUCGGGAAACCGGUGCUAAUACCGGAUAAUAUUUUGAACCGCAUGGUUCAAGAGUGAAAGACGCUCUUGCUGUCCCUAAUAGAUGGAUCCGCGUUGCAUUAGUUAGUUGGUAAGGUAACGGCUCACCAAGGCAACGAUGCAUAGCCGACCUGAGAGGGUGACCGGCCACACUGGAACUGAGACACGGUCCAGACUCCUACGGGAGGCAGCAGUGGGGAAUAUUGGGCAAUGGGCGAAAGCCUGACGGAGCAAGGCCGCGUGAGUGAGGAAGGUCUUCGGAUCGUAAACCCCUGUUGUUGGGGAAGAAGAUAGGGAGAAGUAAAUGCGCAUAUCUUGACGGUACCUAACCAGAAAGCCACGGCUAACUACGUG
rnacentral:rRNA from 1 species